GACGAACGCUGGCGGCGUGCUUAACACAUGCAAGUCGAACGCUGAAGCCUAGCUUUUGUUGGGGUGGAUGAGUGGCGAACGGGUGAGUAACACGUGAGUAACCUGCCCCCUUCUUUGGGAUAACGCCCGGAAACGGGUGCUAAUACUGGGAUAUUCACUGAUCUUCGCAUGGGGGGUUGGUGGAAAGGUUUUUUCUGGUGGGGGAUGGGCUCGCGGCCUAUCAGCUUGUUGGUGGGGUGAUGGCCUACCAAGGCUUUGACGGGUAGCCGGCCUGAGAGGGUGACCGGUCACAUUGGGACUGAGAUACGGCCCAGACUCCUACGGGAGGCAGCAGUGGGGAAUAUUGCACAAUGGGCGAAAGCCUGAUGCAGCGACGCCGCGUGAGGGAUGGAGGCCUUCGGGUUGUAAACCUCUUUCGCUCAUGGUCAAGCCGCAACAUUGGUUGUGGUGAGGGUAGUGGGUAAAGAAGCGCCGGCUAACUACGUGCCAGCAGCCGCGGUAAUACGUAGGGCGCGAGCGUUGUCCGGAAUUAUUGGGCGUAAAGGGCUUGUAGGCGGUUGGUCGCGUCUGCCGUGAAAUCCUCUGGCUUAACUGGGGGCGUGCGGUGGGUACGGGCUGACUUGAGUGCGGUAGGGGAGACUGGAACUCCUGGUGUAGCGGUGGAAUGCGCAGAUAUCAGGAAGAACACCGGUGGCGAAGGCGGGUCUCUGGGCCGUUACUGACGCUGAGGAGCGAAAGCGUGGGGAGCGAACAGG
rnacentral:rRNA from 1 species